rnacentral:rRNA from 1 species
AUGCAAGUCGAGGGGCAGCAUGGUCUUAGCUUGCUAAGGCCGAUGGCGACCGGCGCACGGGUGAGUAACGCGUAUCCAACCUGCCUUACACUCUUGGACAGCCUUCUGAAAGGGAGAUUAAUACAAGAUGUUAUCAUGAGUAAGCAUUUUCGCAUGAUUAAAGGUUUACCGGUGUAAGAUGGGGAUGCGUUCCAUUAGAUAGUAGGCGGGGUAACGGCCCACCUAGUCUUCGAUGGAUAGGGGUUCUGAGAGGAAGGUCCCCCACAUUGGAACUGAGACACGGUCCAAACUCCUACGGGAGGCAGCAGUGAGGAAUAUUGGUCAAUGGACGAGAGUCUGAACCAGCCAAGUAGCGUGAAGGAUGAAGGUUCUAUGGAUUGUAAACUUCUUUUAUACGGGAAUAAACGAAUCCACGUGUGGAUUUUUGCAUGUACCGUAUGAAUAAGGAUCGGCUAACUCCGUGCCAGCAGCCGCGGUAAUACGGAGGAUCCGAGCGUUAUCCGGAUUUAUUGGGUUUAAAGGGAGCGUAGAUGGGUUGUUAAGUCAGUUGUGAAAGUUUGCGGCUCAACCGUAAAAUUGCAAUUGAUACUGGCAGUCUUGAGUACAGUUGAGGUAGGCGGAAUUCGUGGUGUAGCGGUGAAAUGCUUAGAUAUCACGAAGAACUCCGAUUGCGAAGGCAGCUUACUAACCUGUAACUGACAUUGAUGCUCGAAAGUGUGGGUAUCAAACAGGAUUAGAUACCCUGGUAGUCCACACGGUAAACGAUGAAUACUCGCUGUAGGCGAUAUAUAGUCUGCGGCCAAGCGAAAGCAUUAAGUAUUCCACCUGGGGAGUACGCCGGCCACGGUGAAACUCAAAGGAAUUGAACGGG